CCUAAGGGGUUCCGCGAGGCCCCGUGAGGCGGCAGGCCGAAAUUCGCGUCCAAACUUUUCUUUUAAGGUGGACGUUAUG
rfam:Elstera litoralis strain Dia-1 c520, whole genome shotgun sequence.